UACGUAGGUGGCAAGCGUUGUCCGGAUUUACUGGGCGUAAAGAGCGCGCAGGCGGCCGCGCAAGUCGAGUGUGAAAGCCCCGGGCUUAACUUGGGAAUUGCGCUCGAAACUACGUGGCUGGAGUGUGGCAGAGGAAGGUGGAAUUCCAGGUGUAGCGGUGAAAUGCGUAGAGAUCUGGAGGAACACCGAUGGCGAAGGCAGCCUUCUGGGCCAACACUGACGCUCAUGCACGAAAGCGUGGGGAGCAAACAGG
rnacentral:rRNA from 1 species